UACGGAGGGUGCAAGCGUUAUCCGGAUUCACUGGGUUUAAAGGGUGCGUAGGUGGACAAGUAAGUCAGUGGUGAAAUCCCCGAGCUUAACUCGGGAACUGCCGUUGAUACUAUUUGUCUUGAAUAUCGUGGAGGUAAGCGGAAUAUGUCAUGUAGCGGUGAAAUGCUUAGAGAUGACAUAGAACACCAAUUGCGAAGGCAGCUUGCUACGCGGUAAUUGACACUGAGGCACGAAAGCGUGGGGAGCAAAC
rnacentral:rRNA from 1 species